GAUGAACGCUGGCGGCGUGCCUAAUACAUGCAAGUAGAACGCUGAAGGAAGGAGCUUGCUCUUUCCGGAUGAGUUGCGAACGGGUGAGUAACGCGUAGGUAACCUGCCUGGUAGCGGGGGAUAACUAUUGGAAACGAUAGCUAAUACCGCAUAACAGUAGAUGUUGCAAGAUAUCUACUUAAAAGGUGCAAUUGCACCACUACCAGAUGGACCUGCGUUGUAUUAGCUAGUUGGUGAGGUAACGGCUCACCAAGGCGACGAUACAUAGCCGACCUGAGAGGGUGAUCGGCCACACUGGGACUGAGACACGGCCCAGACUCCUACGGGAGGCAGCAGUAGGGAAUCUUCGGCAAUGGACGGAAGUCUGACCGAGCAACGCCGCGUGAGUGAAGAAGGUUUUCGGAUCGUAAAGCUCUGUUGUAAGAGAAGAACGAGUGUGAGAGUGGAAAGUUCACACUGUGACGGUAUCUUACCAGAAAGGGACGGCUAACUACGU
rnacentral:rRNA from 1 species